rnacentral:rRNA from 1 species
GACGUAGGGCGCGAGCGUUGUCCGGAUUUAUUGGGCGUAAAGAGCUCGUAGGCGGCUUGUCGCGUCGACUGUGAAAACCCGCAGCUCAACUGUGGGCUUGCAGCCGAUACGGGCAGGCUAGAGUUCGGUAGGGGAGACUGGAAUUCCUGGUGUAGCGGUGAAAUGCGCAGAUAUCAGGAGGAACACCAGUGGCGAAGGCGGCUUCCUGGACCGGUUCUGACACUGAGGAGCGAAAGCGCUGGGGAGCGAUCCGG